GAGCCAUCACACAGAAAGUUCAUCUCUCAGU
rnacentral:piRNA from 1 species